rnacentral:rRNA from 1 species
GGACGAACGCUGGUGGCGUGCUUACCCCAUGCAAGUCGAACGGGAUUUAGUAAACAGAAGCCUCGGUGGAAGAUUACUAAUGAGAGUGGCGAACGGGUGAGUAACGCGUGAGCAACCUGCCUAUGACAGUGGGAUAGCCUCGGGAAACCGGGAUUAAUACCGCAUAAAAUCGUAGAAACACAUGUUUUAACGGUCAAAGAUUUAUCGGUCAUAGAUGGGCUCGCGUCUGAUUAGCUAGUUGGUGAGAUAACAGCCCACCAAGGCGACGAUCAGUAGCCGGUCUGAGAGGAUGAACGGCCACAUUGGAACUGAGACACGGUCCAAACUCCUACGGGAGGCAGCAGUGGGGAAUAUUGCACAAUGGGGGAAACCCUGAUGCAGCGACGCCGCGUGAACGAAGAAGGUAUUCGUAUCGUAAAGUUCUGUCCUAUGGGAAGAUAAUGACAGUACCAUAGAAGAAAGCUCCGGCUAAAUACGUG